GUGGCAUCAAGUGAUACAAAGAAAUGAGCAGAAGAUGCAUGUUUUAGAGUAACAAAUAUUUUUGUUGGGUCCUAUUAAAUUUAAUAUGAAUACGUCUCACCCAAGGGAGAUAAUUGGAUGGACUGCUUGGAAAUGAGAUUACAGACUUUAAUUAUGGAGAAAUAGAUUUUAGAUCAUAUUGAUAUUAUUUAAAGCCAUUGCUCUUGAUGAGAUUAGUUAUCUAGAGAAAAAUUUAUUUGAAGCAGAGAAAGGGGCUUAGAACUGAGCUCUAGGUCACUUCAACAUUAUGUAUCCAGUAGAAAUACAAGAAAGUAGCAAUGAGAUUUGAGAAAGAGAAGCCAAAAGAGAAGAAAAAACUCCCAGGAGAAUAGUAGAACUGAAGUCAAAAGAAGAAAUUAGUUUAAGGCUUAUCAAGUGUGUUGACUGCUGUUCAAAGAUCAAUAUAAACUCAUACAAAUGAUAAUAAAUUUUGCAAAGCUACUGUUAUAAUAGUAGCUUCCAUGAAAAGUAGAAUGUGGAGUCAUUUGGGGAUGAUUUUAAGAAAAAAAAAUAGAAGAGGAAGUGAAAAUGUGAUUGAAGACAAUUUUUUCAAGUGAUUUGUAAAAAAGAAUAAAAAAUGUGAAGACAAUAAAAAUAUAGCAGUAAAUGGGGAAAGAGAUGAAAAGAGGAUUUUUACUAGUUUGUUUGUUUGUUUUAAUCUGAGCUUCUGUACAUAUUUCCAUGUUAAAUGAACUGGUAGGGAGGGUAAAGAGAAACCAAUCUUGAAAGAAAGAGGGGUAAUCAAGAAGCGAAAUCCUUGAGAAGGAAAGGGGAUGGCAUCCAGAGCAAGAGAGGUCUUCUCCUUCAUCAGGUCAAAGAUCUUGUUCUCACUUUUUCCCUCCUGGUCCAAUUCCAUUGACACUUGUGGUUAGGCCCAUCAACAUGCUUGAUCUUCCCUGUUGAAACAAACAAUGCAGAGGAUUUAUGGACCUAACCCAACACCCUGUAGUUAUAAAAAUGUUUGCUGCAUUUGGAACUUUUACCCACCAGCUCCCAAGCUCCCUUGGUCAAAGGUCACUCCAUAAAAUAAGACCAGCGUAGCACAGAAGCUCUUCUGAGUUUGAGUCAUUACUUAUCUAGGCAACUUGAUUGAAGAAACAAAUCUAUGUUGGCUUUUAGCAACUUCUACUAUCUUGCAGUCAUCUUCACAAUAAGAGGUCAUAAUCUCAUGGUCGUGAGAUCAAGCCCCAGGUCAGGCUCUCUGCUGAGUGUGAAA